rnacentral:rRNA from 1 species
UACAGAGGUCUCAAGCGUUGUUCGGAAUCACUGGGCGUAAAGGGUGCGUAAGCCGCACGGUAAGUCAGAGAUGAAAUCCCGGAGCUCAACUUCGGAAUUGCCUCCGAUACUGCCGUGCUUGAGGACUGGAGAGGAGAUUGGAAUUCACAGUGGAGCAGUGAAAUGCGUAGAUAUUGUGAGGAACACUAGUGGCGAAGGCGAAUCUCUGGACAGUUCCUGACGCUGAGGCACGAAGGCCAGGAGAGCAAACGGG